rnacentral:ncRNA from 1 species
UUGAUAGAGGAGCGGAACACAUUAGUAUGACGCUGAGCGGGAGCGAUGAAGCGUUUGAAAGGGCAACCGCCGAAGUUUAAAAAGCAGCCAUGUUUUUUAUGCUGGGCCGUCAGUGAAUAACUGCCGGACUGUCGCCUGAAAAGGCGGAGGGCUAUCU